CUUACUGUUUCUGGAGGGCGCUGGGGUUUGAGAAGCCUGGGAGUUUGUCAACUGCCAAUUCUCCUUGGUGAUGCCAGGGACCGGAGCCUCAGGAUCCAGCAAAUAGGUGGAGCAGAGGAACUCUGAGUGACUCAGAUCCAGUUGCAGACUCUUAGCAGCAGCUUUAGGAACAGAGGCUUCCUGGGAGCUACUGAGUUACAAGAGGUCAAGUCAAAGGACAUGAGGGGCGAUGGGGCCCGCCGUAUCGCCUCUGAAAAUCUUUUCAAGGAGGAACUGAUAACACCCUCGCCUUCUCCUCAGCAAGAGUCCCUGCUCAAGGUCAACGGAGAACCAACGGCUGAUCUUAACUGCCAGGGGUCAAGAUUGCAAAUGAGAUGUGUGAGUGCUUUUCAGGGCAGAAAAAUCUGGGCUUCAGCUCCCAGCUUUUAACAAUGCUCAUGUUCUUUUGAAUUAUGUAUGAUACUUGUGGCUGGGAAAUGAAGACAAUGGAAAUGGAUUACAGGCACAUUUAUGACUGCCAAAAAGUUGAUAUUACAAGAUUGGAUACUACACUCUCUGUCAAUGAUUCAACCAUCUUAAGAACUUGCCUCUCUUUCUCUAUCUGAACAAGCAUUUUACUGCUCCAAGUCAUAUUUGGAAGACUAUUUGAAAUGGUAUAUAUGCUAAUUUAUGUACAUUCCUCUUCCCCUAUGUAAAGUAAAUUAUUUACAUUUACUUAAUUGUUUAACAUAACAACUAGUUUUGAUUAGUACAUUAGUUUUAUGUUUUCAUGGUUUGGUCACCCUCUUUCCUGAUUUUCU